rnacentral:tRNA from 1 species
UGUUCUGUGGCUUAGCUGGUUAAAGCGCCGGUCUAGCGAAUACGGAGUCGUGGGUUCGAAUCCCACCAAAACGC